rnacentral:misc_RNA from 1 species
UUAAGUUCAGCGGGUAUUCCUACCUGAUCCGAGGUCAAACUCAGGAGAGUCGGGGGUUUUACGGCGUGGCCGCGCUACGCUCCGGUGCGAGGUUGUGCUACUACGCAAGGGAGGCUGCAGCGAGACCGCCACUGUAUUUCGGGGGCGGCGCCAGCCAAGAGGCGGGUUGUGCCGGUCCCCAACACCGCGUUCCCAGAAGG